rnacentral:lncRNA from 1 species
GGAGUGUAAGUGCACAACCUCUCGUCCCCUCUGACUUGUGUGUGCUUGCCCUUCAACUUUCCACCAUGAUGACCCUUAUUAGAUGCCAGCACCAAGGCUGGUAGACUUCUCAGCCUCCAGAACCAUGCACUAAGUACACUCCUAUUGUUUAUAAAUUCCCCAGCCUCAGGUAUUCUGUUAUGGCAGCAGAAAACAGACUGAGACAGUGUCCUUGUGUUUUCUGUCUGUGACCUUGCGUUUUCAGGACCUGGGACUCUUUUUCAGGAUUUACGGAGCAAGAGCGGUUGGCCUUUUCCCUCUGGCUGUUCAGAGCAGCCUGUUUCUAAGCGCUGCCGAGGCCAGGGAGACACUCUUUGUUCUCAGCCCCAGGGGCCAUAAGAAACAGGAACUGGCUGUUUGCUCUGGCCCAUGCACCUUGGCUGAAACACAGAGAGGCCCGUUUCCUGUGUGCCCCUGGUGUUCCUACCCUGUGGCCUUCUGAGGCAUCUGAGGUUGAAAUGGCUGUAGCCAAUGCCAGUUCUCUUGUCACCCAACCUGAGCCGCUAGCAGCCUAAUUUCUGCAGAAAACAGUGCACUAGAUCAUACAGCCUGGGUCUGAUGCCAGAGCUGGGCUGGAGGCCACCUGGGGGGCAGAGGCCCCUCGGUGCCUCCCCAUUUCUGCAAGCAGUUGGGGUCAGAAGCCAAGAGCCCAUGGCAGCUGACCCGGCAGUGACAGCCGGGAGUGUUGGGUGGGGAGAGGGUGAGCACUCAGCCAGGCGCUGCCUCUGGGAUUCCUGUUGACCUAGCAUCCUUCGUAGAAGCUGUGCUUCCCCCAUGUUUGUGGGACAUGUUUUUGAGCUUUCGCUUUGGCUCUUGGCAAACCCACCUGGAAAGCUGGCCCAGCCCGUGCAGGAGUGAAGGAGAGAAGGCAAACACCAAGGCUGGGCUUUGCUUAGGGCAGGGAUUAAGAAGAGAGCCCCAUGAUUUUAAAAAAUGUGCUAUAUAUACAGUAUGGAAUUUUACUCAGCAAUAAAAGAGAAUAAAAUCAUGGCAUUUGCAGGUAAAUAGAUGUAGUUAGAGAAGAUAAUGCUAAGUGAAGUUAGCCAAUCCCAACAAAACAAAUGCUGAAUGCUUUCUCUGAUACAAGGAGGCUGAUUCAUAGUAGGUUAGGGAGGGGAAACAUGG